UGGAAAUGAGGUGUUCCAGAAACAUGAGGUGUAUUACUUUCAUUGUGUAGGAUGGAAAUGAGGUGUUCCAGAAACAUGAGGUGUAUUACUGUCAUUGUGUAGGAUGGAUAUAUUACUUUCAUUGUGUAGGAUGGAAAUGAGGUGUUCCAGAAACAUGAGGUGUAUUACUGUCAUUGUGUAGGAUGGAUAUAUUACUUUCAUUGUGUAGGAUGGAAAUGAGGUGUUCCAGAAACAUGAGGUGUAUUACUGUCAUUGUGUAGGAUGGAUAUAUUACUUUCAUUGUGUAGGAUGGAAAUGAGGUGUUCCAGAAACAUGAGGUGUAUUACUGUCAUUGUGUAGGAUGGAUAUAUUACUUUCAUUGUGUAGGAUGGAAAUGAGGUGUUCCAGAAACAUGAGGUGUAUUACUGUCAUUGUGUAGGAUGGAUAUAUUACUUUCAUUGUGUAGGAUGGAAAUGAGGUGUUCCAGAAACAUGAGGUGUAUUACUUUCAUUGUGUAGGAUGGAAAUGAGGUGUUCCAGAAACAUGAGGUGUAUUACUUUCAUUGUGUAGGAUGGAUAUAUUACUUUCAUUGUGUAGGAUGGAAAUGAGGUGUUCCAGAAACAUGAGGUGUAUUACUUUCAUUGUGUAGGAUGGAAAUGAGGUGUUCCAGAAACAUGAGGUGUAUUACUUUCAUUGUGUAGGAUGGAUAUAUUACUUUCAUUGUGUAGGAUGGAAAUGAGGUGUUCCAGAAACAUGAGGUGUAUUACUUUCAUUGUGUAGGAUGGAAAUGAGGUGUUCCAGAAACAUGAGGUGUAUUACUUUCAUUGUGUAGGAUGGAUAUAUUACUUUCAUUGUGUAGGAUGGAAAUGAGGUGUUCCAGAAACAUGAGGUGUAUUACUUUCAUUGUGUAGGAUGGAAAUGAGGUGUUCCAGAAACAUGAGGUGUAUUACUUUCAUUGUGUAGGAUGGAUAUAUUACUUUCAUUGUGUAGGAUGGAAAUGAGGUGUUCCAGAAACAUGAGGUGUAUUACUUUCAUUGUGUAGGAUGGAAAUGAGGUGUUCCAGAAACAUGAGGUGUAUUACUUUCAUUGUGUAGGAUGGAUAUAUUACUUUCAUUGUGUAGGAUGGAAAUGAGGUGUUCCAGAAACAUGAGGUGUAUUACUUUCAUUGUGUAGGAUGGAAAUGAGGUGUUCCAGAAACAUGAGGUGUAUUACUUUCAUUGUGUAGGAUGGAUAUAUUACUUUCAUUGUGUAGGAUGGAAAUGAGGUGUUCCAGAAACAUGAGGUGUAUUACUUUCAUUGUGUAGGAUGGAAAUGAGGUGUUCCAGAAACAUGAGGUGUAUUACUUUCAUUGUGUAGGAUGGAUAUAUUACUUUCAUUGUGUAGGAUGGAAAUGAGGUGUUCCAGAAACAUGAGGUGUAUUACUUUCAUUGUGUAGGAUGGAAAUGAGGUGUUCCAGAAACAUGAGGUGUAUUACUUUCAUUGUGUAGGAUGGAUAUAUUACUUUCAUUGUGUAGGAUGGAAAUGAGGUGUUCCAGAAACAUGAGGUGUAUUACUUUCAUUGUGUAGGAUGGAAAUGAGGUGUUCCAGAAACAUGAGGUGUAUUACUUUCAUUGUGUAGGAUGGAUAUAUUACUUUCAUUGUGUAGG